GCCAACAUAGUAGAUUAUAUUUUGAUUAGAUCACUAGUCGAUUCGAGUAGAUCCAUACCAUCAAGGUUAAUCAGUGUGACUGAUUUAGGUAUCUUUAAACCAAAUUGUGUCUAAUCCCCUACAUGACUUGAAGUCAGUGGAAGGAUUUAUAGCUUGCAGGUCAAUUUUUUCUCUUAUUCUUAAGUCAAUAAAUCAAAUCCUCUAAAUUAUUAGGUCCAAAAAAUAAUAGAGUUAUGAGAUAACUUAGUCAUAGCCUCCCAUUAAGGUGCAUGAUAAUGAGUCUAAUAUU
rnacentral:lncRNA from 1 species